AAAGUGCUGGGAUUAUAGGCCUGAGCCACCAUGUGCAGCAGAUGAGAAAUCAGGCUCCAUAGGUGACUACAUAAUUUGCAGAACCCAGAGGAAAAUGAAAAUGCAGGGUCCUAAUCCAAAAACCAGGAAAAACUGCUGUUAAAGGUACUAAAAUGUAAAGCUUUUUCCCUAUUUUGCAUGGUCUCUCAAAUUGUAAUAAUGUUUUUUAUUUGUUAUGUAAUGUCAUUUUAAGUAAAGAAAAAUUAAACCUUUUAAUUAUUAGCAUUA